rnacentral:lncRNA from 1 species
UUGCAAAUUAAGCCCUGGUUGGCUUUCCAAUGACCAAUCCCAAAACAAAGCAAAUUAGAUGCUAAAUUUGUGAGGAAAAACAUGUGCCAUGGCAAAAAGAAUCUUCCACCAUUUGAGGCUGCAUCUCAUUUAGAAAUAUGCCAGGUACUACUGUAUAUUGUCUAGUCAGAUCCUAAGGGCGAAAUUAUUUGUUACAGAUAAUUACAGCAGACAUAAUUUUAAUUUAUUGUUCCAGAUGCAUGAUUUAGGUAGAUUUUUGUGUCUGAAAAGGUAGACUUUCAAAUGAAGCCUGUGGUUCACUCCCAAACACCAGCCACAAAACAAACCUUAUUCCUAGGUGUAAUUUGUCUUGUUCUGAAAGAAAAAUUAAUUUCCCUCAUGAUGGUGGCAGCAGGCCCAAAGUAGUCUGAGGGCCACAGAAAUAAGCCGUGGGCCAGAUGCAACUAGUGAGCUUUGUAUUGUCCACCUCUGCUUUAGAGACAACCUCUUUAUCUCUCAUUUGUUGAAAUCAGCAAUUGUUCAAGAAUUAAUUUGUCCCUGUUAUCAACAGUCAGUUGAUCCUUGCUGGCAAUCUGCAGCGAUCUCUUAGCAGUCCAGAUCAUUUUCAGGUGUUUAUUUUCAUUUUCUUCUCCAUUUGCAGACUUCUCCUCAAUUUCAUCAGCGGGGUGUUUCCAAUCCUGAGGUUUAGUUUGACUAAAGCCAGGAUCGAUUCUGCGCCAAAGACCUUGCUAGCUCUUUCUAUGACUCCUGUUGUCUUUGAAUCCAGAAGAUUAACAAAGGGUGAGGCAAACCAUUCAGAGAUCAUCAGGAGAUCCGCAAAGCAGAAAGAAUCAUUUUCUAAGAGGAGAGAUGUGUCUGGCAGAGACUUGAGAGAGGGUUGCCCACUGACAGCAGAGAAUCCCUAGAUUCUGGAGAAUGGGUUCACGUCCAGAUUGCCAGAGGACAAAACUGCAGUUGAGGGAUGCUGAUCUUUGCCUUGUCAUACCAACACCCUCCUGGAGACUACAGAGACCAGCCAGGCACCCAGGCCCUAUCCUGAGCCAACAAAGGUGCUAUAGGAGGAAGUGCCAAAGGGAACACCUGUGACAGAGGUCAAGUCCUUCGACUUGGGGGGGACAUGGGACCCACCCACCGCCGUGAAUCCCAGCAAUACAUGCCCUCCCUAAAAAGGACUAACUGGUUGGAGUCAGUGAGAAAAACUAUACUCCAGCCACAGAGUGUGGACAGCACUGGUCCAAUUAGUGGAACUUGAGGGAAGAUUGGACCGGGCAGGGGUGAUUUUAGUGAAGUUAACUCAGCCCUCCUGCAAGCUAUUGGGACAGUUAGGCACCCAACCUUUCCUUGUAGCCCAUUGUCCUAUUUUAAUAAAGUC